rnacentral:rRNA from 1 species
AUGUUGACAUUGAGUUAUUCAUCAACAAAAGAAGACACCUUGCGAGUGAAGACAUGUGUUAAAAUAGCAUUAAGAUGCGUAGAAAAAGACAGAAAUGAAAGACCCUCUAUAAAGGAUAUUGUCCAGGAACUGGAAGAACUAGAAUUGGAGAUUAAGAAAAUGUCACUACAUUCUCACAAUUCAGAAGACCUAAUUGGCCAGAGCUUUUGCUCGUCCAUAUUAAUUCAUUUGCUGUAGUACUGUUCUUUCCCUCGAUCCAUCCUAUUCGUGCCAAGGAUGAACGCUUCAACCUGCCUGCAGCUAGCUAACAUGACAGAGGGCUUCAUUGCAUUUAAUAUAAAAACCAACAAACGAAAGUAUUAUGCACAGCCAAGCAUCGGAGUUAUGCCACCAUGUUCUAAGCGCUAUAUCUCUGUGACACGUAACAUAGAGGAGGAGGCACCAAUGAAUAUGCAAUGUCAUGACAUGUUCGUGUUAAUGAGGAUCUCACAUCGGACGAGAUCACUACUGCCUUGUUUGAAGAAGGGAAGGUGGAUAUGA